CAGCCGCCGCGGUAAUCCGAAGGGGGCUAGCGUUGUUCGGAAUCACUGGGCGUAAAGCGCACGUAGGCGGACUUUUAAGUUAGGGGUGAAAUCCCAAGGCUCAACCUUGGAACUGCCUUUGAUACUGGAAGUCUUGAGUUCGGGAGAGGUGAGUGGAACUGCGAGUGUAGAGGUGAAAUUCGUAGAUAUUCGCAAGAACACCAGUGGCGAAGGCGGCUCACUGGCCCGAUACUGACGCUGAGGUGCGAAAGCGUGGGGAGCAAACAGGAUUAGAUACCCCAGUAGUCCCUGUCUCUUAUAC
rnacentral:rRNA from 1 species